AGGUUACUGCUAUCGGUGUUCGCCUAAGCCAUGCGAGUCAUAUGUAGCAAUACAUGGCGUACUGCUCAGUAACACGUGAAUAACCUGCCCUUGGGUCCGGCAUAACCCCGGGAAACUGGGGAUAAUUCCGGAUAACGCACAUAUGCUGGAAUGCUUUAUGCGUGAAAUGGAUUCGUCUGCCCAAGGAUGGGUCUGCGGCCUAUCAGGUAGUAGUGGGUGUAAUGUACCUACUAGCCUACGACGGGUACGGGUUGUGAGAGCAAGAGCCCGGAGAUGGAUUCUGAGACAUGAAUCCAGGCCCUACGGGGCGCAGCAGGCGCGAAAACUUUACAAUGCGGGAAACCGUGAUAAGGGGACACCGAGUGCCAGCAUCCUAUGCUGGCUGUCCAGGUGUGUAAACUACACCUGUUAGCAAGGGCCGGGCAAGACCGGUGCCAGCCGCCGCGGUAACACCGGCGGCCCGAGUGGUGAUCGUGAUUAUUGGGUCUAAAGGGUCCGUAGCCGGUUUGGUCAGUCCUCCGGGAAAUCUGACAGCUUAACUGUUAGGCUUUCGGAGGAUACUGCCAGACUUGGAACCGGGAGAGGUAAGAGGUACUACAGGGGUAGGAGUGAAAUCUUGUAAUCCCUGUGGGACCACCUGUGACGAAGGCGUCUUACCAGAACGGGUUCGACGGUGAGGGACGAAAGCUGGGGGCACGAACCGGAUUAGAUACCCGGGUAGUCCCAGCCGUAAACGAUGCUCGCUAGGUGUCAGCAUGGCGCGACCGUGUCUGGUGCCGCAGGGAAGCCGUGAAGCGAGCCACCUGGGAAGUACGGCCGCAAGGCUGAA
rnacentral:rRNA from 1 species